AUGGAUUCUCUCUGCUGCGGAGUGUCUGUGUCUCCUGGCUGCCGAAGGCUAGACACUGUGCCUCCCCCCUUGGACCUUUAUCCACAUUUGGCCCCUUCUGGAAUGCCCUUACCUGCCUGGCCAGUCACUGAUUACCCUUCAAACCCAGCACCCCACGAGCAGCCACUCCAUUGGUGAGUAGCAGUGGAGAUGCCCAGUGCUGCUGUGAGUGCUGAGGGGAUCACAGACCCUGGCAAGGCUGCCCAGCCACAGGGCCAGGGGUUAACUUGACCCCCCCCCACACACAUUCACACUCACCCUGAAGUACCCUCAACUCAUGACUAACAGGAGUUGGUGUAGAAUCCAGCUCUUUUGCUCCAUGGGGUGCAGUUGACACGAUUUCCCAGUCUCCCCUGGGAUUGCACUCCCGAUGUUCAUGAUGGCAGCUGGCUUGUUUGUAUGCUGGGCUCCUCCUUGGCCCAUCUCCCUUCCUCACUCCUGUCUGAGUUUUCCUAGGAUAGCUUGCUGCUCUG
rnacentral:lncRNA from 1 species